UACAGAGGUGGCUAGCGUUGUUCGGAAUUACUGGGCGUAAAGGGCGCGUAGGCGGCUUGGUCAGUCCCGUGUGAAAUCCCUCGGCUCAACUGAGGAACUGCACGGGAAACUGCCUGGCUUGAGUUCGGGAGAGGGAAGCGGAAUUCCGGGUGUAGCGGUGAAAUGCGUAGAUAUCCGGAGGAACACCGGUGGCGAAGGCGGCUUCCUGGACCGACACUGACGCUGAGGCGCGGAAGCUAGGGGAGCAAACGGG
rnacentral:rRNA from 1 species